CAAUAGGGAAUCUUCCACAAUGGGCGAAAGCCUGAUGGAGCAACGCCGCGUGUGUGAUGAAGGCUUUCGGUCGUAAGCACUGUUGUAUGGGAAGAACAGCUAGAAUAGGAAAUGAUUUUAGUUUGACGGUACCAUACCAGAAAGGGACGGCUAAAUACGUGCAAG
rnacentral:rRNA from 1 species